CCAGGCUUCAAGGAAGCAACCUCGCAACUUUUUAAUUUGUUUCCCUUAGAGAGAAAUGGAGUAGCUUAUUGCUUAUGCUAGAGAUUUCAGUCAAGAGAUCUCAAAAUGCCCAGAUGUUCCUUCUCAUAUAAAAAUGCUGAAAUCCAACCCCAGAACAAUGCACUUUAGAAAGGCAUCUGUACAGAAUAACACCAAACAUCUCUUCCAUAUCUUAUUCUCCAGAAAAUAAAAAAUCCUUGUGCUA